rnacentral:tRNA from 1 species
AGGGUGUAGCUCAACGGUGGAGCGCCUGCUUAAGAAGCGGGGGGUUGCGGGUUCGAAUCCCGCCAUCCUCG